GGGCGUUAAGUUGCAGGGUAUAGACCCGAAACCCGGUGAUCUAGCCAUGGGCAGGUUGAAGGUUGGGUAACACUAACUGGAGGACCGAACCGACUAAUGUUGAAAAAUUAGCGGAUGACCUGUGGCUGGGGGUGAAAGGCCAAUCAAACCGGGAGAUAGCUGGUUCUCCCCGAAAGCUAUUUAGGUAGCGCCUCGUGAAUUCAUCUCCGGGGGUAGAGCACUGUUUCGGCUAGGGGGCCAUCCCGGCUUACCAACCCGAUGCAAACUGCGAAUACCGGAGAAUGUUAUCACGGGAGACACACGGCGGGUGCUAACGUCCGUCGUGAAGAGGGAAACAACCCAGACCGCCAGCUAAGGUCCCAAAGUCAUGGUUAAGUGGGAAACGAUGUGGGAAGGCCCAGACAGCCAGGAUGUUGGCUUAGAAGCAGCCAUCAUUUAAAGAAAGCGUAAUAGCUCACUGGUCGAGUCGGCCUGCGCGGAAGAUGUAACGGGGCUAAACCAUGCACCGAAGCUGCGGCAGCGACGCUGAUGCGUUGUUGGGUAGGGGAGCGUUCUGUAAGCCUGCGAAGGUGGCCUGUGAGGGUUGCUGGAGGUAUCAGAAGUGCGAAUGCUGACAUAAGUAACGAUAAAGCGGGUGAAAAGCCCGCUCGCCGGAAGACCAAGGGUUCCUGUCCAACGUUAAUCGGGGCAGGGUGAGUCGACCCCUAAGGCGAGGCCGAAAGGCGUAGUCGAUGGGAAACGGGUUAAUAUUCCCGUACUUGGUGUUACUGCGAAGGGGGGACGGAGAAGGCUAUGUUGGCCGGGCGACGGUUGUCCCGGUUUAAGCGUGUAGGUGUGUGUUCCAGGUAAAUCCGGAACAUCAAGGCUGAGGCGUGAUGACGAGGCACUACGGUGCUGAAGCAACAAAUGCCCUGCUUCCAGGAAAAGCCUCUAAGCAUCAGGUAACAUCAAAUCGUACCCCAAACCGACACAGGUGGUCAGGUAGAGAAUACCAAGGCGCUUGAGAGAACUCGGGUGAAGGAACUAGGCAAAAUGGUGCCGUAACUUCGGGAGAAGGCACGCUGACACGUAGGUGAAGUGAUUUACUCAUGGAGCUGAAGUCAGUCGAAGAUACCAGCUGGCUGCAACUGUUUAUUAAAAACACAGCACUGUGCAAACACGAAAGUGGACGUAUACGGUGUGACGCCUGCCCGGUGCCGGAAGGUUAAUUGAUGGGGUCAGCGCAAGCGAAGCUCCUGAUCGAAGCCCCGGUAAACGGCGGCCGUAACUAUAACGGUCCUAAGGUAGCGAAAUUCCUUGUCGGGUAAGUUCCGACCUGCACGAAUGGCGUAAUGAUGGCCAGGCUGUCUCCACCCGAGACUCAGUGAAAUUGAACUCGCUGUGAAGAUGCAGUGUACCCGCGGCAAGACGGAAAGACCCCGUGAACCUUUACUAUAGCUUGACACUGAACAUUGAGCCUUGAUGUGUAGGAUAGGUGGGAGGCUUUGAAGUGUGGACGCCAGUCUGCAUGGAGCCGACCUUGAAAUACCACCCUUUAAUGUUUGAUGUUCUAACGUGGACCCGUGAUCCGGGUUGCGGACAGUGUCUGGUGGGUAGUUUGACUGGGGCGGUCUCCUCCUAAAGAGUAACGGAGGAGCACGAAGGUUGGCUAAUCCUGGUCGGACAUCAGGAGGUUAGUGCAAUGGCAUAAGCCAGCUUGACUGCGAGCGUGACGGCGCGAGCAGGUGCGAAAGCAGGUCAUAGUGAUCCGGUGGUUCUGAAUGGAAGGGCCAUCGCUCAACGGAUAAAAGGUACUCCGGGGAUAACAGGCUGAUACCGCCCAAGAGUUCAUAUCGACGGCGGUGUUUGGCACCUCGAUGUCGGCUCAUCACAUCCUGGGGCUGAAGUAGGUCCCAAGGGUAUGGCUGUUCGCCAUUUAAAGUGGUACGCGAGCUGGGUUUAGAACGUCGUGAGACAGUUCGGUCCCUAUCUGCCGUGGGCGCUGGAGAACUGAGGGGGGCUGCUCCUAGUACGAGAGGACCGGAGUGGACGCAUCACUGGUGUUCGGGUUGUCAUGCCAAUGGCACUGCCCGGUAGCUAAAUGCGGAAGAGAUAAGUGCUGAAAGCAUCUAAGCACGAAACUUGCCCCGAGAUGAGUUCUCCCUGAGACUUUAGGUCUCCUGAAGGAACGUUGAAGACGACGACGUUGAUAGGCCGGGUGUGUAAGCGCAGCGAUGCGUUGAGCUAACCGGUACUAAUGAACCGUGAGGCUUAACCUUACAACGCCGAAG
rnacentral:rRNA from 1 species